AGUGAACGCUGGCGGUAGGCCUAACACAUGCAAGUCAAACGGCAGCACAGGAGAGCUUGCUCUCUGGGUGGCGAGUGGCGGACGGGUGAGGAAUACAUCGGAAUCUACUUUUUCGUGGGGGAUAACGUAGGGAAACUUACGCUAAUACCGCAUACGACCUACGGGUGAAAGCAGGGGACCUUCGGGCCUUGCGCGAUUGAAUGAGCCGAUGUCGGAUUAGCUAGUUGGCGGGGUAAAGGCCCACCAAGGCGACGAUCCGUAGCUGGGCUGAGAGGAUGAUCAGCCACACUGGACCUGAGACACGGUCCAGACUCCUACGGGAGGCAGCAGUGGGGAAUAUUGGACAAUGGGCGCAAGCCUGAUCCAGCCAUACCGCGUGGGUGAAGAAGGCCUUCGGGUUGUAAAGCCCUUUUGUUGGGAAAGAAAUCCAGCUGGCUAAUACCCGGUUGGGAUGACGGUACCCAAAGAAUAAGCACCGGCUAACUUCGUGCCAGCCGCCGCCGUAA
rnacentral:rRNA from 1 species